CGGGUUUUGUCUCCAAACAAGAAAAAUAAAGUGCGCAUCAGUUCAAUAAUAAUAAUUAGACCAUGCUACGAAACCGUUACUAUCAUGUCAAGUUUGGAACAUAAGAAAGCAAGCUACUGAUAGAAAGUUCUUUGAAUAAAACAAAGACAGAAGGAAAGGUUCUAAAACUUACAAUCUCCUACACACACUUCAGUGUGUCUACUGUUGGGAGGAUCGUGACCAAUUGUUCAAGGAAGUAGAAGGGAUUAUCAGAAGGCAUAUUAAUAUGUCGGUUCUCCCUAGUGUCCAGUCAUUCCAUGAAAUAGCAUAUCCACUGUGGUUGACAUCAGCUAUCUGUGAGAUUUGGUUCGCGUUAUCCGGGAUUUUGGAUCAGUUUCCAAAGUGGUCACCCAUUAACCGUGAGAUUUAUCUUGACAGGCUUGCUAUAAGAUAUGAUCGUGACGGAGAACCAUCACAGUUGGCCUUUAUUGACGUUUUCGUCAGUACAGAGAACCCUCUCAAGGAGCCGCCUCUUAUCACUGCAAAUACUGUUUUGUCUAUACUCUCCGUUGAUUACCCUGCCGACAAGGUUUUCUGCUAUGUAUCAGAUGAUGGUUCAGCUAUGCUGACUUUUGAAGCCUUAUCAGAAACAGUUGAGUUUGCAAAGAAGUGGUUGCCUUUUUGCAACAAACACAAUAUUGAGCCUAGUUCCCCUGAGGCUGAUGAAAGAAAAUUGCCAUUACAGUUAACAAUUGUAGGACGCCUCGAUGUUGCGUCAUCUGCUCAGGACCUUCCCAUGCCGUAUGGUUAUAAAUCUGGCAUAUCAUUUGUUUGCUGCAUGUUUGAAAUUGUUGCAUAUCAACCAGCAUUUCACGCUCCGGACAACGCUGAAGUUAUCAAUAAAAUAAGUAGAUCCGCUAUUUCUCCAUUGCCAAUUGCUCACUCUCCCACACUGAAGCAAUUUAUCAAGAGCAUGUUGAGGAAAAAUCCUGAACACAGACCAACAGUGGCUGAUUUGUUGAGACAUGCACUCAACAUCUCAAAUGCCGGCACACUAUGCUGAUAAGAAGCACUUGCCGCAUCAAACGGUGGACUGUACCAAUAAUGAGCGUUUGCCAUGAGUAAAACCGACUCUCCAUUCUCAAGUUCAAAAGCAAAGAGCUUCCAGAUGUCCUUGCUCUCGACGAAGCCACACCAGAACCGUGUCAAAAUAGUUAUGCGAUAUCGCGCCGACACCAAUUUAACCCACAAACAAAUCAUGUCGCUUGCAAACCUCAGCUGAAAUUCAACCCGGUGACGUAUGUCCUGCAAGUAUCAGCAACAGAUGAAAUUAACACGACCAUGUACCAUUCAUUCAAGAAAACGUAUGCUAAAGUGGUUUCGCAANCGUCAGUACAGAGAACCCUCUCAAGGAGCCGCCUCUUAUCACUGCAAAUACUGUUUUGUCUAUACUCUCCGUUGAUUACCCUGCCGACAAGGUUUUCUGCUAUGUAUCAGAUGAUGGUUCAGCUAUGCUGACUUUUGAAGCCUUAUCAGAAACAGUUGAGUUUGCAAAGAAGUGGUUGCCUUUUUGCAACAAACACAAUAUUGAGCCUAGUUCCCCUGAGGCUGAUGAAAGAAAAUUGCCAUUACAGUUAACAAUUGUAGGACGCCUCGAUGUUGCGUCAUCUGCUCAGGACCUUCCCAUGCCGUAUGGUUAUAAAUCUGGCAUAUCAUUUGUUUGCUGCAUGUUUGAAAUUGUUGCAUAUCAACCAGCAUUUCACGCUCCGGACAACGCUGAAGUUAUCAAUAAAAUAAGUAGAUCCGCUAUUUCUCCAUUGCCAAUUGCUCACUCUCCCACACUGAAGCAAUUUAUCAAGAGCAUGUUGAGGAAAAAUCCUGAACACAGACCAACAGCGGCUGAUUUGUUGAGACAUGCACUCAACAUCUCAAAUGCCGGCACACUAUGCUGAUAAGAAGCACUUGCCGCAUCAAACGGUGGACUGUACCAAUAAUGAGCGUUUGCCAUGAGUAAAACCGACUCUACAUUCUCAAGUUCAAAAGCAAAAAGCUUCCAGAUGUCCUUGCUCUCAACGAAGCCACACCAGAACCGUGUCAAAAUAGUUAUGUGAUAUCGCGCCGACACCAAUUUAACCCACGAAUAAAUCAUGUCGCUUGCAAACCUCAGCUGAAAUUCAACCCGGUGACAUAUGUCCUGCAAGUAUCAGCAACAGAUGAAAUUAACACGACCAUGUACCAUUAAUUCAAGAAAACGUAUGCUCAAGUGGUUUCGCAAUAGUGAUUUACCUGUGGUAAAAAGUUAGGAUGAGAGUUGAGGGGGGACCACUAAGCUUGAGCAGACAAUUUUUAGAAUUCCCGCUCUACUACAUGGACAGUUGCCUUAGCUCCUGGUCACUACCAAUGGUACGGAAAAGCAGACGAGAGGGACCACCAGCUUGAGCGAAGACAAAAACCUCCAGCAUCCUCCGUACGGACAACCUCCACUACACAACAGGAAACACAACAGAGAGGUCAGCAGAGAAGAAGAUUUGAGGCGGAAGUGAUGAUUCUCACCGUCUGUUGGUGUUUUUUAUUUGGAUCUCAUCGAGGCUUUAAGGCCAUUAAUUACAUUGCCUUUCCGAAUCCCAAAGUCGGCUGCUUUGUUCGGCGCUCCCUUACGUUCGUCCAAGUUUCCAUGUGACCGUUGUACUUCCCUGCCAUUUUCGCGCUUGGACUUUGCUGAAGUGGGCCUCAACUACCCAAGUUGAGAUUUAGGUUCAUGGGCCUUAAACAAACUUAGCCCAUGUUUGGCCUUUCUCGUUUUCUCCCUUGGGGAGUUUUCAGUUAGAACAUAGUUUUUGUGGGUCUUAAUCUAGCAGUAAGCAGGUCUUGGCCUGGUGGAGAUGGAGAUAAUCCCCCUUCUCUUUGGUCCUGGGUUCGAUACUCAGUUGUGUCGUGUUGGUUCUCCAAUAUUUUUGACUGUCUCAUAUUUUCCUUUAAUUCUCACAUUUAAU
rnacentral:lncRNA from 1 species